GUACGGGGGGAGCAAGCGUUUGUUCGGAUUUACUGGGCGUAAAGGGCGCGUAGGCGGCCUCUGCAAGUCGACUGUGAAAUCUCCGGGCUUAACCCGGAAAGGUCAGCCGAUACUGCAGGGCUAGAGUGCAGAAGGGGCAACUGGAAUUCUCGGUGUAGCGGUGAAAUGCGUAGAUAUCGAGAGGAACACCUGCGGCGAAGGCGGCAUCCUGGACCGGCAUUGACGCUGAGGCGCGAAAGCCAGGGGAGCAAACGGG
rnacentral:rRNA from 1 species